rnacentral:rRNA from 1 species
AUGCAGGACAUCAUCGAGCUGCACCCAUCGACCCCUCCUGCACAUCCUUGCAGCGCUGCUACACCACCUCUGAUGCUGAUUGCUUCAACCCCUCAUGUCUCGCCGGCUGAUCUGUCCCCGCUUUUUGUCACUUGUGCUCCGCCCCUGCUGCCUGCACCGAACUCCACACCACCGAGGCUGCCCAGGGCAAGGAGGAAGACACUCGCGAGUGUGUCGGGCUUCAACCUCAGCCGACGCAGCCCUCGGCUCCAAGCAAAGAAGAGAACUUUGCCGGUGGCGCAGAUGGCGGAAAGGCUUCUUUGUCAACGCAUGGGCAUCAUCAAUGAAGGGCAAGAGGUUACUGAAGAAGCCAUCAGGGAAUUUGUUGCCAUGUUCAAUGGGCAACUUCCGGACACCACAGUAGCGGCCCUUCGAGCCCUCUUCAACCUUGACUGUGACCUUGCGAAGGCUGUCGAGGACGCAUUGGUGGAGCAUGGAGGCGAGGCUAGAGCAGAGCUGCAGUCUGCGAAUGGAGAGGUGGCCGGCGAGGCCGCGUGA